GAGUUUGAUCCUGGCUCAGGAUGAACGCUGGCGGUAUGCCUAACACAUGCAAGUCGAACGGGUGUCUUCGGACAUUAGUGGCGGACGGGUGAGUAACGCGUGAGAAUCUGCCUUCAGGAUGGGGACAACAAUUGGAAACGAUUGCUAAUACCCGAUAUGACGAAAGUUGAAAGAUUUAUCGCCUGGAGAUGAGCUCGCGUCAGAUUAGCUAGAUGGUGUGGUAACGGCGCACCAUGGCGACGAUCUGUAGCUGGUCUGAGAGGAUGAGCAGCCACACUGGGACUGAGACACGGCCCAGACUCCUACGGGAGGCAGCAGUGGGGAAUUUUCCGCAAUGGGCGCAAGCCUGACGGAGCAAUACCGCGUGAGGGAGGAAGGCUCUUGGGUCGUAAACCUCUUUUCUCAGGGAAGAACAAAAUGACGGUACCUGAGGAAUCAGCAUCGGCUAACUCCGUGCCAGCAGCCGCGGUAAUACGGAGGAUACAAGCGUUAUCCGGAAUGAUUGGGCGUAAAGCGUCCGUAGGUGGUUAUGUAAGUCUGUGGUUAAAGCGUGGGGCUCAACCCCAUAAGGGCCAUGGAAACUACAAGACUUGAGUAAAGUAGGGGUAGAGGGAAUUCCCAGUGUAGCGGUGAAAUGCGUAGAGAUUGGGAAGAACACCGGUGGCGAAAGCGCUCUACUGGACUUAAACUGACACUGAGGGACGAAAGCUAGGGGAGCGAAAGGGAUUAGAUACCCCUGUAGUCCUAGCCGUAAACGAUGGAUACUAGGUGUUGCCCGUAUCGACCCGGGCAGUGCCGUAGCUAACGCGUUAAGUAUCCCGCCUGGGGAGUAC
rnacentral:rRNA from 1 species